AGAGUUUGAUCCUGGCUCAGGAUGAACGCCGGCGGUGUGCCUAAUACAUGCAAGUCGUACGCACUGGCCCAACUGAUUGAUGGUGCUUGCACCUGAUUGACGAUGGAUCACCAGUGAGUGGCGGACGGGUGAGUAACACGUAGGUAACCUGCCUCGGAGCGGGGGAUAACAUUUGGAAACAGAUGCUAAUACCGCAUAACAACAAAAGCCACAUGGCUUUUGUUUGAAAGAUGGCUUUGGCUAUCACUCUGGGAUGGACCUGCGGUGCAUUAGCUAGUUGGUAAGGUAACGGCUUACCAAGGCAAUGAUGCAUAGCCGAGUUGAGAGACUGAUCGGCCACAAUGGAACUGAGACACGGUCCAUACUCCUACGGGAGGCAGCAGUAGGGAAUCUUCCACAAUGGGCGCAAGCCUGAUGGAGCAACACCGCGUGAGUGAAGAAGGGUUUCGGCUCGUAAAGCUCUGUUGUUGGAGAAGAACGUGCGUGAGAGUAACUGUUCACGCAGUGACGGUAUCCAACCAGAAAGUCACGGCUAACUACGUGCCAGCAGCCGCGGUAAUACGUAGGUGGCAAGCGUUAUCCGGAUUUAUUGGGCGUAAAGCGAGCGCAGGCGGUUGCUUAGGUCUGAUGUGAAAGCCUUCGGCUUAACCGAAGAAGUGCAUCGGAAACCGGGCGACUUGAGUGCAGAAGAGGACAGUGGAACUCCAUGUGUAGCGGUGGAAUGCGUAGAUAUAUGGAAAAACACCAGUGGCGAAGGCGGCUGUCUGGUCUGCAACUGACGCUGAGGCUCGAAAGCAUGGGUAGCGAGCAGGAUUAGAUACCCUGGUAGUCCAUGCCGUAAACGA
rnacentral:rRNA from 1 species